GGAACGCCGGCGAGCAGCUGGAAACCUCAGGUUCAGGGUCAGGGCCGGCUCGGAGAGGCGGGCAGGAGCCACCCUGGCCCUGGGGCUCCCCGCUGUGGGCACCUCCAGACGCCUCCCCGGGGCGGCCCCACCUUGCCCUGCCCGGGUCUCGCCUGGGGCUUCCCGCGGGCGGGACCGCGAUGCCCAGCGCGCACCCAGCCCGGCCGUGGCGGCCCGCGGGAUACUGAGAAAGUUCCCUCCGCCCGGACGUCGGCGCCCGGAGUCCCGCCCGCCCCGCAGCUUCCCCGCCAGGCGCAAGGUCGCGGCACGGGGCCGGCGGCGCGGGGAGCCCCGGGGAGUGUCCCCCGCCGAGGGCAGCGCCGGCCGCGCCCGGGACUCACGGCGCAGCCCGUACUCACCGCGCUCGCUCGAUCCCUAGGGGGCGGCCGCGGAGGGCGGCGCUGCCAGAGCCGGAGCGGGAGCUUGGUCUCGGCGGCGCGAGGAGUCGGAGGACGGAGAGGGGUGGCGGCGGCGGAGAGGGUCACGGCAGGAAAGAGGCGGCGGUGGCGCCUGCAGACGCCGCGCAGCCCGGGCAGCCCUACAGCGCUAGCUGGCUGCCGCCGCGGCAGGGGCUUUAUCGGCGGCGCCGCGCGGCCCCCGCCCCUUCCUGCCGCCCCCGCCCCCGGCCCGCCUCGCCCCGCCUUCCCACCGCCUCCUUUGUGUGGCCGCGGGCCCCAGCGUCCCCGCGCCCGGCCUGCGGGACGCCCCCUCUCCACUGGCGACCUCUCGGAUGCUGCCCCCCCCAGGGGUCCUCGUCCUGGGGCUGCGCCCGGAACGCGCCGGGGAGACGCGCAGACCCUGAGGCGCGGCGCCAGCCUGGGCCCAGCCGCACGUGGGUCUCCCGGAUGGGGGUGUGUGAGGUGGCGGGUGGCGGGGGGUCGGGGGUGGGUGGUGAUACCAAGGCUCCCUCCGCGUCCCGGAGACGCAGGGCAGGUCGUCUUGGCUGCCCCCUGGAAGAGGCAGAGGGCGCCCUGA
rnacentral:lncRNA from 13 species